AAUUGCUGACUGAUGUUUUUACACAGGGUUACAAGUUGGAGUGAAGCUGCUCCAAGGGACAAACCCUGGAGAUUGUUUUAGGGAGACUGUGCAACAUUCUUGGACAGGUCUCAUUGGGGAGUUGACACAAGAGAGGAAGCCAUGUGGCGAGAGGAGUGUCAUUUUAAUUUGCAGAUGUCGUGAGAUGCCAUGACGAGAAGGAGUGACUGAGGGGAUCGUCCACAAGAUGGAAGCUGAGGCCAGGAGAGAGGCUUCAGGAGGAUCAGAGAUCACCUUCAGCACAGAGAGCUGUGCUACUGAGCUUCCAGGAGAUCAUCAUGAGGAAACUCUGCACAGCAAAAUCUUAAAUGAGAUGAAAUAGUUUCGACGUUGACGUUGAGGAAGACAACUAAGGUGUACGACGUGCUCUGCCUUUAAAAUCUUCAGCAGCGUUGAACCAUGAGAACUUCAGGGAGCGUGCCAAGCUCCAAAAAGUGACGGCGCAGAGGAGGUCCACCGAUGGACGUGUGGUUCUGUGAACAGCACAAAUGCCAGGUGACUGUGAAAUAACUAACAGCACUUUUUCCACAAGUGAAGCCAGUAACUUACUAUCCUAACAGAUUAGCUCUAGUUGCUUGUGCUUUACCUCCAUGCGUGAGAUCAGUAUGUGCAGCAGCUUAUGCUGUACAAUGUUUCAGGAUAUAGUUUUUCACCUUUUUGACACUGUUAGUUCCACAUGGGGUAGAUGUCUACUACUGCAGACUAAAAUUACAUUUCUGUCACCUACAAGACACUUGUCUUUAAUGUUACUGUUACUCUCAUAACCAUACGUAACCAUGAGUGGUGCACAAUUCUGAAUCCAUCAAACCUUUUUGCCAACGAAAGAAGAGAGCACUUCUCAUGAGUGUAGAGACCACGUGGAGAAAGAGUUUAAGCCGAGGGAUGAUUUAAUAGAUGUGCCACUUGGUGAGGGAAAGGUUUGGUUUGUUGAUGGUUCGAGUUUUAUAACAGUAGAGGGACAGACUGAAACAGGUUUUACUGUAGUAGAUAAUGAGAAAGUUGUCUGUGCAGGACAACUAGCAUGUUUCAUAUUUGCUUGAGCAGCAGAGAUGUUAGCUUUAACGGAAGCGUGUAAAGCUGCAGAGAAACAAGAUGUGACAAUAUACACUGAUAGCCAGUAUGCAUUUGCUACAUUACAUUUCUUUGUAGUGCAGUGGGUGAGACGAGGUGUGACAGCCUCUACAGGGAAACCUGUAGAACACGCCAAACUCUUGCAAAAUCUGCUGGAGGCAGUGUUAUUACCCAGUAGAAUUGCCGUUUGCAAAUGUGUAGCACACAUGUGAGGGAAAGAUCCAGUUGCAUUAAGGAGUGCUUUUGCAGAUAAGAUCGCGAAAGAGGCAACUUUAGGAGAACAUGGUGUUAACAUUUUAGCAGUGCAACACCAACAGACAUUGGCUAUUAUGCGGGAUGCACUGGUAGAUAUGCAGGGCCACUCACCUACUGCAGGAAAACAGUUGUGACUUACAGUAGGAGCGAGCUUGCAGGAUGGUGUUUAUUAUCUGUGUGAUAAACCAAUACUGCCUUAGACUUUAUAUAGGACUGCUGCUAUUUUGCGCCAUGGGCUUUGCCAUGUCGCAACAGGAGGGAGAUAAUGAGUAGUUUAUACUUUAAGAUUAAAUACCCUUAAAAAAACUUUUUACAGGUCAUGUAUGAUAUGUUGCAAGCAUAAUUCCCGGGGUAAUUUGAGACCUAAGAGAGGGAAAUUCCCUAGACCCAGUCACCCAUUUCAAGUUAUUCACAUGGAUUAUAGAACUGUCCAACUGUAAUAACUAUAAGUACUGUUUAGUGAUAGUGUGUUCUUUUUCAAAGUGGGUAGAAAUUGUACCAACUAGAAAAGCAGAUGCCAUUUCGGUUGCCAAAGCAAUAUGUAAGAAUAUCAUUUGGAACACGGGAUUCCCGAGACCAUUUAUAGUGAUAAUGGUCCACACUUUGUAAAUGAAGUGAUUGGAUUAAUGGCACAACAUUUAGGGAUAACACUAAAACAUCAUUGUUUAUAUCACCCACAAAGUGCAGGGUUGGUAGAGAGAACCAAUGGAGCAGUAAUGUUAAGACUUAGGAAGAGACACGCAGGACAUGGUUAAACUGUAUAGAAUUAGUUAAGAUGUAUAUGAAUGUACAUGAGGAUUACUCCAACAGAGAAUGGUCUGACUCUUUGAGAUUAUAUAUGUUAGAGCAUUUAGAGUUCUACUCUUCUGUAGUGAUGAUAGAAGAGCAGAAGAGAGAGCAUAUUAGCAGAUUAGAUGCUUAAAAUGUUUAAAAAUAAAGAAGUCUUGAGAACAAAUGAUCUGCCAGAUGAUUCUGUUUCUCCACAGGAGCAGAGUCUGAAGUCUGUAGAUUGGAUGUUGACAAGGCCAUGGAGAGGAAGUGCUGGUCCAGUCCACGGUGGGAAGGUCCAUAUCGGAUGCUGCUGACGACGACCACAGCAGUGAAGAUUGCUGAAAGGAUUACUUGGAUACAUCAAGCGCACUGCAAGAAGGUGACACACAUCCAGGCCAGCUCGGGGUAAGUGGCAGGAAGACCGGGUACAAAGGGGGGGGAAAGCCUCCAGGGCCCCUCGUCUCAAUCCGGUGAAGAAACCAACUGAGCCACAGGUACUCAUCAGAAUGGCUGGGAAUGUGUUGUGCGCCUUCUUGUGCCUGUGGACCCAGAGUGGGAUGACAGGAAAGCGCACUGGGACAGAGCAAACCACACCCAGUACCCGCAUGGGGUUUUCAACAACUACUGGUGGCAGUUUGUGAACACAACCGCUCACAUAAAGAACGAGACCAAUGGUUAUGCUUGUGAUGCCACUGGUUACACAUUCUUCUGGACUGUGGCCAUAUAGCAUCACUGAGAGCGAGACAGUUUGUUUGGUUGCCGUAGCAACACAUCCAGGAGUAAACGUACUUGGAACACUGCCAACUUUUCAACUUCUGAACCUGAAUGGAUGGUUGAUUCACCAGUAGCUGGGACGGUGAACUGCUCUGGUACGACAGACCUGCUAGUCCAACUCCAAGUAUCUGACUUGCUGCAGGACAUUGAACAGCUAAAUGAACUGGAAAUAGGCCAGUUGCCUAUGUGUAUGAAGAGCAAUGGUUUAGUCCAAGUUGGAGAUUUACCAUGAAAUUUGUGCAACGUCACCUAUUCUUUGUGUCCUCUGCAAGAAGGAUGCAAAACAGAGAAGCCUUUUGUCUACAUUUGCAUCAUGAACACUUCUCUAAGCUGGUUGAGGUUUUGAGCCAAGAAGAUCAAAACACCUUGAUCCAAUUUCCUUUACAAAGCUUUUCCUGUGGUGACAACAGGACAGGAGAAGAGUUGUAAAUGCGGGAAAUUCACCAGUUGACUCUAACCCCCACAGGAUGCCUACAGUGAGAAGAUUUGGGGGGUUGAUAGGAGUCAUAAAGAAGGGUGUUGACCAGGCUACAGCUUUGAAGUUAGCUGAGAGCCACAUGGACAAAAAAUAAAGUCAACUGAUGUGUGUGAAUGCCUAUGUCUGUAUACAGUUGGAUUGUAGUGACAUAUGAUUUUUGAGUAUGUUGAUUAUUCUUGUUUGACUGUGACAUUCAGUUGUUUAUUUGCAGGAAUACAUAAUGAAUCGCACGACAGGAGUAGAUGCACCACGAGGCUGGAUAACUUGGUGAAUGUCUGGUCCUUGGUGGCAUCUUCUUUUGAAAAUAUUAACUCCUGUUUUUGGACUGUUGACACUGAUUUGCUUAUGUAUAGGAUGCAUUUUACCGUGUAUAAGAUCAAUGCGAACUAAGAUGAUUUCUAAUACAUUUGUUAAUUAUGUACUUUUACAACAGUAUGAAAUGACUGAAAUGAAUGACAUGACAGAAGUCUGUGUAUGAAUGACGCCUGCACUGAAAAUGUUAAGCAAGAGGUGCAUGGCUGAGAAUAUACUACAUAGGAAUAAUUUGGAACAUAAAAAUAACAAAACAGGAGGGAAAAUGUUAGAGUGAAUAGUUAAACAUUUGUCAUUUUUAUGUUUACCAUUUGUCCAUUGUUUUAACUCUGUGAAAGGAAUUCUUUCUUUCCUCCCAUCCCCAGAUUCUCGAGGUUCUGGGUGAGGGGCUGUAAUGUUUUAUUACAGGCAACAUCUUAGUGAAGGUCUUUUUUGAUGUAAGCUUCCUGCCCAGCAGGAGGUCUCACACACGCACACACACACGCACACACACAUUCUCGCAUAACACACACACACACACACACACACAUAUAUGCAUACAGUGCCUUGUCUUUGUAACCAAGGGGGGUUAUGAGGGGAGGUACUAUUGUUGUGUGUGAACUGUCUCUCAAUAAAAGGCAGCGAGAGGAGGCCGGAUUUGGGGUCAUUCGUGAUGAGCUAAGAUACCAACGAGGCCUCCCUUGCGCAAGUAAUCGAUCGAACACUGUUGCCUUGUUUUUCUUUCAUGGGAAUAAGUCCUGGAUACAGCGGGGUCUGAGUUUAGACCCAACAGAUGAACCUUCAACCCAUCUAUGAAAAUAUCUCAGCUCAGUCAGCAGGGCACACAGCUGAUCUCUACUCCACCAUCAAGCCACUGUGUGCUCAAUAAAGAAAAGCUUGUUACCAUGGGGAUUUCACCUCCAGUGAUAUUACUCUACCAUCACAGCACAGACUCUGCAGCUUCCAGAUCUGUCAGUGGGUUACACUCACUUUAUUGGAAUAUAAAAUACAGUAGAAAUAAAGAAUUUAAUUGAAAUUGCAAAGCUUGAGUAUAAAUUCUUAAGCUUUUCAAUUUAAAGAUAUUUGAUAAUGACGUGCCUGUGUUAAAAAAAACACCUGCAAAACACAAGGAAACUGUUUAAAAAUUCUGCUCUGUCCAAAAGCCUGUGUAUGUGCAUUUACUGAUCACCCUCUUAAAAAAGGUGCUAUUUUGGAUGACUCUGUCAGGCAUGGUAAUUGCAUUACUUUGUGUGCCUUGGGUGCCACUAAUGAAAACAUUAAAGCCAUUGUGUCUGCUG